AAUAAGCGGAGGACAAGAAACCAACAGGGAUUGCCUCAGUAACGGCGAGUGAAGCGGCAACAGCUCAAAUUUGAAAUCUGGCGCUUGCGUCCGAGUUGUAAUUUGUAGAGGAUGUUCCGGCUACGGCUAUGGGUUAAAUUUCUUGGAACAGAAUGUCAUAGAGGGUGAGAACCCCGUCUUGACCCCCGGCACGAGUCAUGUGGAGCUCCUUCGACGAGUCGAGUUGUUUGGGAAUGCAGCUCAAAAUGGGUGGUAAAUUUCAUCUAAAGCUAAAUAUUGGCCAGAGACCGAUAGCGCACAAGUAGAGUGAUCGAAAGAUGAAAAGCACUUUGAAAAGAGAGUUAAACAGUAUGUGAAAUUGUUGAAAGGGAAGCGCUGUCAACCAGACUUGAGCGCGGCGGUUCCCCCUGGCUUCUGCCUGGGUUAUUCCGCCGUGUCCAGGCCAACAUCGGUUCUGGAGGUCGGUUAAAGGCCCUGGGAAUGUAUCUACCUCCGGGUCGACUUAUAGCCCAGGGUGUCAUGCGGCCUUCCGGGACCGAGGAACGCGC
rnacentral:rRNA from 1 species